UGUAGGACAACAUGUUGAAUUCCUUAGAAAAUUCUAGUGCUUUAAGUGCUAAAGGAUCAACCACCAAGGCCACAAGGGGAGUCCUUAAAGUUAAGGAGUUCAAGGCCUGAUGUAAAUAUGGGAGAGAGUGAAUCAGUGUGAGGUGAAUGCUUUCCAUGGGAGGAGUUCCUUGUGGUAGGUCAUUGGGGUUCAUAGGUGGAAGAAAAGUGUAGUUGAUGUUUGAUGGAAGAGUUUCAAGGAUUGAUUUUGAGGCACUUGAGGGAGAGCCAAGUGUUGGAAUGAAGCAUGUGACAUGAAAGUCAGGAUGGAGUUGAACAAGUUGCUUGGAAAAGUGAAGAAUAGGGACUAAAUGGCUAUACCCAACACCUGGAACAACUGCUAUGUGAACUGUUUUAUCCAUUGAAAUUUGUUGCUAUAUUUCCAGCUUAUGAGGCAAAGUAUUUUUUGUGUGGCUUGUUAAAUGGAUAACAGAACUCACCUACCUACCUUGCUAAAUAUGUGCUAAAAUAGCAAUUAUACAUAUGAUGAUUGGGAAGUUUGAAAACGAUGAAUAAGAGCCACUCAUGUUGGUAUGAUGGGGUAAUACGAAAGUAGUAUAGUACCUCAUACAAAUAUUAAGAAAAUAGUGGUCCAAUAAGGAUAGAAAGUCUUAAAGCGAGACUUUUUGUUUUAAAAAUAAUAAUAUUUUAUCAAAAUUAUGGUGACUAUGGUAGCUUUUGUUUUAGGAAAAUUCUUUGAUAGGUGGUUCAACAUUUUUUUAUUGUUUUAGUUUGAAAUUUUGACAUCAUUAAUUGCCAUUUUGUUUUGGCAUUCUUGUAAAAUUAUGGUGACUUUGGUAGCUUUUGCUUUAUGGUGGUUCAACAUUUUUUAUUGUUUUAGUUUGAAAUUUUGACAUCUUUGGCCUUUUGUUNNNNNNNNNNNNNNNNNNNNNNNNNNNNNNNNNNNNNNNNNNNNNNNNNNNNNNNNNNNNNNNNNNNNNNNNNNNNNNNNNNNNNNNNNNNNNNNNNNNNNNNNNNNNNNNNNNNNNNNNNNNNNNNNNNNNNNNNNNNNNNNNNNNNNNNNNNNNUAUUUUUAUAGUAAAAUAUCUUAGUUACGAGAUAGUGUUAUCUAGGCACAAGUACUUGAACACAAAAUUUUGGCGCACACACUCACAAAUCAAAAAAAUUAAAAAUAAAAUAAAAUAGUCACAUCAAUUAAUUUUUCUUUAUUCAUUUUCUAUUUAAUUUUUUUAGUUUAAUGUGAGUGUCCUAAAAAUAUGCCCAUAUAAGUAUUCCUCCUUAGUUACUAUAUUAGAGUAUUUAUUUUAAUUAUUUCUUAGAUUAUAAGAUUAUAAUCUUAGAACAUCUUAGUCGUCCAGAAGCUUGUAAUUAUGUACAUAGAUUUUUUGUUUUGUUUGACGAGAAACAUGUAUCAUGACAUUACAGUAUCUUGUGUUAUCUUAUAGAAAGAAAGAUAUGUUUUUGUUUGAUAGUGAGGUUAGGAGAGUAGGAGAGAUCACGUAUAGGAUGCAAAAAGCUAAACCCACACAGCUAAAUGACUGGGAUUUGGAUCUUGUUUUUAUGUUCUAAUUCCCAAAUCGGAUUUAUGUGAUUUUUUUUUAAAUAACCUCGACAUAAAAAAACACUUUUUUUUUUGGCUCCUAAGAAGAUCAGCCAUGCCUUCAGGUGGAGUAACAUGAAUUGAAUGAUAAACAUUUGAUGACGCUUCAAGUUUGGCUAAAAAAUCAGCGCAUUGUUUACCUUCUCUGAGGGUGUGGCUAAGAGUAAGAUUACUUUGGGAAAACAAAUCCUUUAUAUCUUACAUCAACACACAUAGACAUGAACUUGACGGGGGGGACCUUGAAUAGGGUUGAUAUAGAGUAAUGAAUAUGAGUAGCAAACGAGCUCAUCAAUUGCCAAGUCUUUUCCUACACCAACUUUCUCCACUUGAGUGCUAAUUGAGAGAUAGCAUCUUUCUAGAAGAUCCAUCUUCUUUGAUUGCAUUCGAAGCAUCUUCUUUUAACUCCUUCAUAUUAUUGCACAAUUUCUCGCCUUCUUCUCCUUCAAUGAGAUACUUGAUCACCUUAGCAACCUCCACGUUUUCCACAAUGUCAUUUUCAUUAACUCUUGUCCUCAGUCCAACUUUCAAGACUUCACUCAGCAAAACCGCAUUCAUUUUCUGCUCAGCAAACAGAGGCCAUGUAUAUCAUGACACGACAAUAUCCAACAAAAUUAAGAAACAUAUAUGUCUUACUGAGAAACAUAUAUGUUUGUUUGAUAGUGAGGUUAGGAGAGUAGGAGAGAUCACGUGCAGGAUGCAAAGGGCUAAGCUACCACCCUAUCCAUUCCACACCAUGAGCAGUUGUAAUUAUCCAAAUCGGAUUUCUGCUAUCACUUUUCUAUUUUGAUAUUAGAUGUUAUAGAUUUCAAAUUUUUAAAAUAAAAAUGUUUAAUUUAAAAUUUAGAUAGUUCGAUCUAAAUUUAAUGAUCACUGUAGUUCUAAAUCCGUGAAUGCAGAAGAGAAAAAAAAAUAAAAAAUAAAUGUGAGGACUUGGACAUCAUGGUCCAUGUUUUAUAGGACUAAGAAAAUACUUCAUAUGUUCUAUAAUAAGUGAGGAAAUUAAUGGUGAUCUUAUUUCUUUGAUUCCUUAAAAGAUGCUGUAAUUUGUGUGAAAGAUUUUCCACCUAGGUAUCUUUGAAUUAACUUAUUUGAGCUCAUUUACUUGUAUAACUUUUGGGAGUCUGUUUGGGAGAAUUCGUUUAUAAGUUGUUUUUAGCUAAUUUUUUGUUCUUCAAGUAAUUGAAUAGGAUAUAGGGGCUGUUUCAUUGUUUCUAGUUUCUAGUACUCAAAAUGAUAAAUUAUCACAGUAUCAAAAAAAGAACCUCAAUUAAUUGAAGCAAAUUUCAGUUAAAGAAAAUUAACCUCUAGUGACACACUGUGGCAGACCACAACAAGCUGUUACAACACAUGACCAAUUAUUUCCGUCCAUUAUUACUUGUUAUCCAGCUUCCAUUGUUAACUUUGUAGUUUUUACUACUCUCGUUCAUCUAUUAUUGAUAUAACUUGUCAUGUCUAUCUUGAUAUGUGUAUUAGCAGGUUCUUAGUAGACAUGGAAAUAUAAUCAAGACAAUGGUCGGUGGCUAUAUCAUUGUACAGGGAAGGGCUGAUGACACCAUGAAUCUUGAUGGAAUAAAGGUAUCACUCUUUUAGGGAGAAUGCAGAAUAAGAAAACUACUAGGAACUUCAUUCUUUAAUUCAUGACCAGCGACCUACUUUUAAAUGGCGCAACAGAAUUUAAGAAGUGAGUAUACCGUGUCACCAUAUAUUCUAUUGUUUAUGAAAAAUGAUUAUACAAUUGAACAACACAAACCAACUCUCACUUAGGCCUAAGGUCUCUGACUAUUAGUUUCAUUGAUGUGGACUCAAUUAUGGGCGAUGUAGAUGCAUUUAAGAUUGACAGCAGCACAACUAAAGAGGAAGAGCAACAACAUAGACUAAGGAUUUUUAAGUUUUCCUACACCAAAUUUCUCCACUUAAGUGCUAAUUGAGAAAUAGUCUUUGUAGAAGACCCAUCUUCUUUGACUGCAUUAGAAGCAGCUUCUUUUAACUCCUUCAUAUUAUUGCGCAAUUUCUCACCUUCUUCUCCUUCCAUGAGACACUUGAUCACCUUAGCAACCUCUACCCUUUCUACAAUGUCAUUUUCAUUAAAUUUUGUCCUCAUUCCCACUUUCAAACCUUCACUCAGCAAAACCGCAUUCAUUUUCUGCUCAGCAAACAAGGGCCAUGUGAUUAGUGGUACACCAUGCAUCACACUCUCGAGGGUUGAAUUCCAACCACAAUGAGUUAAGAACCCACCAACUGAAUUGUGACUAAGGAUUUGAAUCUGGGGUGCCCAUGAUGGAAUCACCAAACCUUUCUCCUUGGUUCUCUCCAAAAACCCAGAAGGUAAAAAUUGCAAAGGGUCAACAUCAUUUUGUGCUGAAAGAUAUUCAGCAUUGGCUGAACUACUUGGUGCUCUUACUACCCACAAGAAUUUANNNNNNNNNAAUCCUAAAGCCAACUCAACAAUUUGUUCUUGUGAAAGUGUACCCCCACUCCCAAAAGACACAUACAAAACUGAACAAGAUUGUUGUUUGUCCAACCAUGACAGACACUGCAACCCAUUAGCAUCAAUAGAACUUGUUGCUGUCUGGAUGAUGGGUCCAACAGGAUAAACAGAAGNNNNNNNNNNNNNNNNNNNNNNNNNNNNNNNNNNNNNNNNNNNNNNNNNNNNNNNNNNNNNNNNNNNNNNNNNNNNNNNNNNNNNNNNNNNNNNNNNNNNNNNNNNNNNNNNNNNNNNNNNNNNNNNNNNNNNNNNNNNNNNNNNNNNNNNNNNNNNNAUGUUGAAUUCCUUAGCAAACUCUAGUGCUUUAAGAGCUAAAGGAUCAACCACCAAGGCCACAAGGGGAGUCCUUAAAGUUAAGGAGUUCAACGCCUGAUGUAAAUAUGGGAGAGAGUGAAUCAUUGUGAGGUGAAUGCUUUCCAUGGGAGUCCCUUGUGGUAGGUCAUUGGGGUUCACAGGUGGAAGAAAAGUGUAGUUGAUAUUUGAUGGAAGAGUUUCAAGGAUGGAUUUUGAGGCAUUUGAGGGAGACCCAAGUGUGGGAAUGAAACAUGUGACAUGAAAGUCUGGAUGGAGUUGAACAAGUUGCUUGGAAAACUGAAGAAUAGGUACUAAAUGGCUAUACCCAACACCUGGAACAACUGCAAUGUGAACUGUUUUAUCCAUGGAAAUUUGUUGCUAUGUUUCCAGCUUAUGAAGCAAAGUAUUUUUUGUGUGGCUUGUUAAAGGAAAAUAAAUAUACGCAUUUGAUGAUUGGGAACUUUUGAUAACGAUGAAUAAGAGCCACACAUGUUGGUAUGAUGGGGGUAAUAAUUAAUACAAAAGUAGUACAGUACCUCACAAAUAUUAAGAAAAUAGCAGUCCAAUAAUGAUUAAGAAUGGUUUCACAAUAUCUAUUUAUUCAACACCUUGUCACUGAACAAGAUAAUAGUGGUCCAAUACUUAUUUAGAAUGGUUUCACAAUACCUUUCUUCCUGUAAGAAAAAGCCAUUUUUACCGCAACUCGCGACUUACAUACAGUUAAUUCAUUUUUAAAAUGUAUUACUAAUAUCGACAUGUUGAUAUCAUGUUCGGUGUUUGUGUUUGUGUUUGUGUCCGUGCUUUGUUUUUAUUAGAAUUGUGGCUAUCCUAAUAAACAAGAAUCACUGUUUGGUGUCAAGUUCGUAUUAACUAUUAAGUCAUAAUCAAUUAUUUUCAAAGUUCAUUAUUUUCUGCCCUCCUAUUAUUUAAAAUACUACAACUUCAACCUGGUAUUUAGUGUUUGCUUCGAUUCUCUUUGAAUUGUCUUGCCACUAUUUUAUUGUCGAGUUCCUAAACGUAUGGGAAUGUAAUCAUGGUUUUUAUGUUUUUAGGAGUCAUCUCUUCCUUUUUUUCUCCAUUUUCAAGCCCAAAUAUUUGUUUUUCCUGUGCUUAUGCGCCUCCACCAACCUUCGUGUUUCUGCCCACGCGCCACUGCCAUCUGCCGAGUGUACGGACACAUUCAGUGUCCGUUCGACGAGUUUUUCCGCCUCCUGACUCUGUUUACUGUCCCAAUUUUGUACUUGUCACAAGUUUUCGAGCCCUUAUACCUAUGUUUUUGACUAUGUUUACUCUGUUGUGAUCGUUAAUCUCCUCUUCAUGUUUAUCUUUUGGAUCUUAAUUUGUUACAAGUUUAAAGUUUAGUAAAUUUAUGCUUCCGAAGAAGUGCUAGAAUAUUACAAACUAUCUUAUAAUAUCCUUAAAUCUUUGGUUUUAUAUUAGAGUAUUUUAAGUUAUUUUCUAGGAUUAGUUCUUAGAGUAUCUUAGACAGCUAGCAGCUUGUAAUGACCAUAGUUUAACUAUCUAAAACAGCCAGAAACAAAAUCAAUAUACAAGGUGAAUAAUGUACAUGGAAAUUUCGAUCUGAUGAAUCAUGACAUUACAAUAUCCAAUAUCCAAUAUCCAAUAAAAUUAAAAAACAUAUGUCUUACUGAGAAAGAAGUAUGCAAUAUCAAAUAAAUGGUGCACACUGAGAAGCAUUUUCAUCAAUUUAGGGGACUUGGGAACAAUGUAGAGGGCUAUAAGAAAUUAUAGGGACCGUUUUGUUGAAAAAUGUCACUGGUUCGAAACUCUUGUCUUACAAAACUAGGAGUUUACGGUUUUUUUAGCCCUAUAGUUUACAAUUUAAAUUCGUUUUAAUUUUUUUUUUUGCAUUUUUAUUAGGUGUCCAUUGUUAAUAUUCAAGCAGGACCUCCAAAUAGUCAAAUAGUCGGGGCCGACCCUAAAUGGCACAACAGAAUUUACAAGAAGUGAGUAUACCAUUUCACCAUAUAUUCUAUUGUUUACUAAAAAUGAUUAUACAAUUCAACAACCAAAAUAUCUCUUGGUAGUGUAAUCUAAAUCUGUUGAAAAUGAUUAUCAUCGGCUUUAUAAUGACCAUUGGUUAUUGAUGGGAACCUGAAAUUUAGAAACAUAAUUUAUAAAAUAGAAAUAGAUCAAACAAUGGAAAAUAUAAUAUAUUGAAUAGAUAAUAAACAAGGAAACUAGAGGAAGGAAAUAAUCCCAAUCCCCCCAAACCAAAAGCUCCCUUGAAAAGAAAACACUCUCUUACCACAUUCUUAAUUACAGUACAUCCACAACCCUCACUCGGAGGAAGAGCCACAACUUAGAGAGAUAUACACUAAGGUUUUUUAAGGUUUCCUACACCAACUUUUUCCACUUGAGUGCUAAUUGAGAAAUAGUCUUUGUAGAAGAUCCUUCUUCUUUGGUUGCAUUAGAAGCAGCUUCUUUUAACUCCUUCAUAUUUUUGCGCAAAUUCUCGCCUUCUUCUCCUUCCAUUAGACACUUGAUCACCUUAGCAACCUCUACCCUUUCCACGAUGUCAUUUUCAUUAACUCUUGGCCUCAAUCCCACUUUCAUGCCUUCACUUAAAAAAACCGCAUUCAUUUUCUGCUCAGAAAACAAGGGCCAUGUGAUUAGUGGUACACCAUUCAUCACACUCUCGAGGGUUGAAUUCCAACCACAAUGAGUCAAGAACCCACCAACUGAAUUGUGACUAAGGAUUUCAAUCUGGGGUGCCCAUGAUGGAAUGACCAAACCUUUCUCCUUGGUUNNNNNNNNNNNNNNNNNNNNNCAACAUCAUUUUGUGCCGAAAGAUAUGCAGCAUCACCUGAACUACUUGGUGCUCUUACUACCCAUAAGAACUUAUGAUUACUCAACUCCAAACCCAAAGCCAGCUCAACAAUUUGUUCCUGUGAAAGUGUACCCCCACUCCCAAAAGACACAUACAAAACUGAACAAGAUUGUUGUUUGUCCAACCAUGACAGACACUGCAACCCAUUAGCAUCAAUAGAACUUGUUGCUGUCUUGAUGAUGGGUCCAACAGGAUAAACAGAAGGGUUUCCCUCGACACUUCCUUCCUCAUUAAGUGCUUUUAUAGGACCCCUUUCCAUUUCUAAAAAGCUAUUAACAAGAAUACCAUCAGCAUUACUUAAAGGCUUAAUAAGUUGGAGGAAAUGUUUGUAAUCUUGACUUGAUCUAUCUUGAACAUGGGCAAAGAGAUCCCUCCCAUGGAGUGGUACACAACCUGGUAAUUUGAUAGGAUUUGGUAGGUCUUUGUACUCACAUGAUGUUUCCUCAUCCAACUUAGGCAAAUAGAAGCACACAGACAGUGUAGUAGCUGAUAAAGGGAAGUAUAUGUAGGACAACAUGUUGAAUUCCUUAGCAAAGUCUAGUGCUUUAAUAGCAAAAGGAUCAACCACCAAGGCCACGAGGGGAGUCCUUAAAGUUAAGGAGUUCAACGCCUGAUGUAAAUAUGGGAGAGAGUGAAUCAUUGUGUUGUGAAUGCUUUCCGUCGGAGUCCCUUGUGGUAGGUCAUUGGGGUUGACAGGUGGAAGAAAAGUGUAGUUGAUGUUUGAUGGAAGAGUUUCAAGGACAGAUUUUGAGGCAUUUGAGGGAGACCCAAGUGUGGGAAUGANNNNNNNNNNNNN
rnacentral:lncRNA from 1 species